GAUGAAGAACGUAGCGAAAUGCGAUACGUAAUGUGAAUUGCAAAUUCAGUGAAUCAUCGAGUCUUUGAACGCACAUUGCGCCCCCUGGUAUUCCGGGGGGCAUGCCUGUCCGAGCGUCAUUGCUGCCCUCAAGCACGGCUUGUGUGUUGGGCCCCGUCCUCCGAUUCCGGGGGACGGGCCCGAAAGGCAGCGGCGGCACCGCGUCCGGUCCUCGAGCGUAUGGGGCUUUGUCACCCGCUCUGUAGGCNCNGCCGGCGCUUGCCGAUCAACCCAAAUUUUUAUCCAGGUUGACCUCGGAUCAGGUAGGGAUACCCGCUGAACUUAAGCAUAUCAAUAAGCGGAGGA
rnacentral:misc_RNA from 1 species